rnacentral:rRNA from 1 species
UACGUAGGGUGCGAGCGUUAAUCGGAAUUACUGGGCGUAAAGCGUGCGCAGGCGGUUUGUUAAGACAGAUGUGAAAUCCCCGGGCUUAACCUGGGAACUGCAUUUGUGACUGGCAAGCUAGAGUAUGGCAGAGGGGGGUAGAAUUCCACGUGUAGCAGUGAAAUGCGUAGAGAUGUGGAGGAACACCGAUGGCGAAGGCAAUCCCCUGGACCUGUACUGACGCUCAUGCACGAAAGCGUGGGGAGCAAACAGG